rnacentral:misc_RNA from 1 species
AAGCACAAGAUUGUGACCUCUGAACGAAAGGGCAAUGAUACCAAGUGCAUUGAAGAUGGUAGUGACUCUAUCCAUACCAGAUUUUCCAUUUUGUAAAGGGACAUGAGACGCACUAUAAGGUCUGCCCUUAGAGAAGGUGGAUACCCAAAUUAGAGUAUAAUAUCCAACGGCUGUGAUUGCAGCAACGAAGGAGAAGCCAGCAAUGGAAUUCAAGUUAGGACGUUGAGCCAGAACUAUAGCAACGCAAGUGAAGACCAGGAACCACUCUGCCCCAGUCAAUAACUUGGCAUCGCAUGAGGCUCCUCCGCCACAUACAGUAUCGUAGAAAAGCUUCAUGGUCCUACUCCCUGUGAUUAUUAGGAUCACGCACGUGCCACCUGAUAGGUACAUCACUGGGAAUAUUGCUACCAGUUUCCCUAGCUUUGGACCAAAGGAAGCGAUAGCAAGUUGAAGAUAUCUGCUGCAACGGGGCCCGGGCAGUGCCUCGUGAAGGUGGACCAAAACCCAGAUCGUGUAGAGUUGCCACGCAAAUGCCAGCAAUAAACAUGUGAUUCCCCAUGACCAUCCAAGAGAAGAGAAGGCCAGAGGAAGUAGCAGAGCUUGAAAUCCAAUUCCUGAGGAAAGCAAAUGGAAUACACAACUGAACAUGCUACCAUUUCUGGAUUCAGUGAUAGGAAGCCAAGUGUCUUGUGGGUUGAUCUCAUCAUUUCGAAAAUCGCCUGAACCUUUUAAGUCUAAGCAACCUUGCAUUCCUUCACUAAUGGUGAUAAUUUGCAGCGUUGUCGUCGGAAGAGGAGGGCUUUGGAGGGUGUCGUUCUGCAGGUUAUGCAGAGGUGACUCUUCACUGGAGUAUUUUCCAAACAUUUUUCACAUAAAGCUUUUGCCUUUGUACGUUUUUGUUUAGUUUUCGUGUGCUGAGA